GAAAGUAGAACUUGGCUGUUUGCCUUUUUUUUUUCCCCCUUAGGUAGUUAUUUUAUCUGUGUCCAGUAUGCUAAGUCCAAGUAGCAAGAUGCACCCUUGGGGAUUUACAGUCCUCUCAUUUUAGCUCUCAUUAGUGCUGAAAAUACUAUAGUGGAUUAAGUACUUGAAGAUUGGACCAUGAAAGUAUGAAAUAGAAAUUUCAAGUGCUCCGAAGUGCAUUGUAGGAACAUACCAGUUUUUUAGCUCUUAACAUGCUGUUCAGGCCUGUUGAGCAUGAUACACCUUUAAAUGAGGUAGAAAUACACUAAUAUGGAAACAGUUUUUAGUAAACUGCUUAUUUGAUACUUACGUACUACUUUUAAGUAAGAUUUGGGGAAGUCUUUCAUUUACAGCAUAGGUAAUACCUAUUGCCCCGUAAUAUUCUUUCUAAAGAAUUUGCCUAAGAAAGUCCAUUGUUCUGAAACAAAACAAAACAAAACAAUUCUUUUUACAUAAUUACAGUAGCAAUGACUUGAUUAAAAACCAGUGGCAUUUCAUCUGUAUUUUUUUCUACCCUUCUCCCUUGCUUCCCAUACCCUUUUUUUUGUGUGUGUGUGUGGACAUGAUGAUCUCAUGGGUUGAAUAGGGAAGUUCUCCCUGGGUUGGGAGGAGUCAUUUCAGAUGCAGCUAAGAAAUAAAAAGAACAUGUUAGACUGUAAUUUCCUUCUAGGUCAGCUCUGUUUAAUAUUUCAGAUCACAAAAGGUAAUAGUAUUUGGACCACAGCUCUCCUUUAGAAACAUGUGCAUUGUAUUAAGUAUUGGCUUGAUAGUUGAUAAAGCUGAAACUCGAGAAGUAACUUUUAAGAAUCACUGUUGAAUAGUGAGCUCACUGUAGAACCAUGACUUUGCCAUACCUCUCUUACCCACUUUCUAGUGCCUACCUAACACAACUAAAUGCCUAGUAAUUACUUGGGUUGGGUCAAUGCCCUUGAGGAUGUGAAUUUCUAGAGGGUACCAUAUCUGCUUCGUAGAUGAAGGCAAAGAUAAGUUCUGCCUAAAUCAGUACAGGGAAAUCUGAAUUAGGCUGGAAGUGUCAGCUCAUGGGAAGAAGAUAGAAUAAGCGGGUUCUGCCCAUGAAGGGAUACUGUGUUGAUUGGUGUUUGAGAACUGCUGUGUUCCAGAGUCCUGAUCCUUUAUGCUAUAUGUAAGGUGGUUAUAAUAUACAUCGAAUCCAUCUUUCCAAACAUGCCUAGCAUUCAUUACACUUUAGCCAAACAGAUAAUCCCUGUACCUUGUAUAUGCCCCUUAUUUUUUACCUCCAUAUUUUUACUCACAUUCCUUUUGCUGAAUAGGUUCCCCAUCCAUCAAAGCCUCCUCUUUAAGGUACCACUGCUCAAAUGGCCUGUAAGCCUUGAAAUGUUCCAUGGCUUGUGUUCUGCCUGCUCCGUGGUACCCUCCUUUCUCUGUUAAUACUUUCUGCAUCACACAUGAGUGAUUAUUUUGGCACUCCUAUCAUCCCCUCCUAUAUUGAAAGAAAAGAGGCUGGGUUUCAUUCGGAUGCCCUGCUUUUAAAGCAUACUGCCUGGCCAUAAUAGAUUAAAUAGGCAGGUGCAAGGGAGGUUAAAAACAAAGCUGAUAGACUGGAAGGAGCAUACAGAUUCUAGUCCUGACACUAGGUUUUAGGAUCUGUUCCUUGAGCUUCCACUUAUAACUCAGACCUGGAAACGCUGAACUGCAUUCUCCAGGCUCUGGGACAUUUCAAAAAGUCAUCAGAAGGCAAGUCUACAGCAGCUACCUGGAGAUUCACUGAAUCUGACUUGAGGUCACUAAAUAGGGUCCAUGCCGAGUGCCCCUUUCCUCACCAGCAUCCAGGGCUGCAUGGAAGGAGCUGCCCCGGUCCUCAGAGAAGUAGCUAAGCCAUUCCUGGUGUCACUGCUGUAGCUUCUGGAUACAACUGAGGAGACAUAGAUGAAGGCAAGUGGGACCUAGGAAGUGUAGUAAGCAGAGGCCUUGGCUCAUGACCUCCUGUCUGUGGCUAAUUAGCUCACAUCCAGUUAUCCAGGGGAUUAAGUCAGGAACAAACGGACUUGGAGACAAGCUGCAGUUUCUACUUAGAAUAAUUUUUUGUAGGGGAGGAAGAUAUAUCCGUACAUUUCCUGUAAUUCCAUUUUCCCUCUCUAUUUCCAGAGCCUGGGUGGAAGUAAAGGACCAUUAGAAGGCCCUCCUUUACUGGAACAUUUGGUCAGCCUGCCAUUUCUAAUACUCUUGUUGCAAUGGUAUCUCAUAUGAAGAGAUGCUCCCACUUCACCUGAAUACCUGCCUGAAGGAAGUGGUUUACUUGUGUUAACCCUUUGAAAGAGGCUCUGUCAGAGAGAACUCAGCUGCCAUGGGAAGUGGGUUACAGCCUUCACAGGACAUACAUGCUAAAAUACCAGAGUGGAAUGUUGUCCUGGUGUUUGAUGGGAUUCUCAGCUGGAGAAAUCCUGAAGGAAGCAACAGGAUCCGGAUUUGGUAGUGUCAUCAUCUAUUCUGGGCUCUCAAGAUUUUAGGUUCCUUGGGUUGGGAGGGUGACAGUUCAGGAUUUUUCAAAGUUCUCUUACUUUUGCUGGGAUUUUGACCUGUCCAAGGAUAUCUCCUUAUUUAUUGGGAUUUCGGGAUACUGUGAAACCAAAGCCUUUCCAUCACGAGCUUUUCCUUACCCUGAUACAGUAGUUUAAAAAGCCGGCUCAAACAAAACAAGGCGUAUUUCUUUUACUCCUUCCUUUGGUCAGGAUAAGCUCCUAUUUCUGUAGGAAAAUAGGAAGGUUCUCAAUUCAAGUUUCUGGAGUUGGUUUCCGAGAGAAGGGGCUUUGUGGAGGGAGAAAAGAUCAAUGGUAUUUUAAGAACAUGCUGUUUAGAGAAUUUUUGAUCUGAUUGGUUUCUGAAUUAGAGAAGAUUUAUAUCAGAGGGUAGAGGCCCAUUCGACCUUCCUCAGCAGGCCUUACCAGCCCCUCUGAGUGCAAGCUUUCUAGUCAGUCUGAGAGACACAGCCCAGAGAAAACCCCAUCUUGCCUACCGCUUCAGCGUUGGGGUGGAGGGUGGGCAGACCGUACAGAAGGUGCCUGGGUGAUACAUCUGACAGCUUCCAGAAUGGUACUCCUCAUCCCUGGCCUGGGAUUCCAGUCAGACUAGGGAAAAGUUGCCGAUCUCCGCUCUGGACCCCCGUCAUCAAGCCGAUACAUAUUAUACCACCAGCAGGCCCCUUCCCCGCCAGCUGCUUCUACUCAGGGAGGCAGUCACUGCAGACAUGACGAGAACUCAGCUCCCUUCAGGUUCAGUGUCGUGCAGUUGACUAAGGAGUCUCAUUUGCACAGAAGACUGGCUUAUCUGUGACGGUGGCACCGCAGCUGGGCCACUGGGCUCUGCGGUUUAGUAUCGUGGAGCCUCACAAAACACAGUCUCUUUCUAAUGAUGCCUGUAACAGUGUGUCCUCUGUUUUGCAUUUUUAUUUUUUAAUGUGUACUUUGAGGGGAAGGAAGCAGCUCCUGUCAUAAUUUGUUUUCUCCCUGGUAUGAAAAAUAGUCUAUGAAAAGUAUUGAUAGUCCUCUUAGAGGGAUGCAUUUCUUAUUUAGUGACAGCUUAGAAGAAGAAGUAGUUUGAAUCCGAUGACCUUCUUUUACCUUUCUCUGCCUCUCUCACACAUAUCCGGCAUCUUUUUAAUCACUCCUGUCCUUGGUCACUCCCUGUAGCCUUAGCCAAGAUUGGACUCUUGAAUGUUUGAAAGGACCAGAGGGUGGCAGAGUGGAGCCACUUAUUGUGGCUGCUCUUGAAAGGAAUCUAGGUAAGUUGUAAACUAAGGUGAGAAAGUAUCGGUAUUAUUAUCUGUCUGCUUAAUUGAUAUUUCUUAAAUCUGACUCCUAGGAUUAGCUGUGGGUUUUGGAGGUGGAUGAACUCACUAUCUGCUCUCUCCCAGUAGCCUUCAUGCAUAAACACUGGCCUGGCCAUGGAGUGAGUUUGAAAACCAGUAAACCACUCAUCACCCCUCUGUCAGGUCCCCCCGCCAUAACAUCUGGCAUACGUGGUCCCCACGUGUGAUAGGCUCUGCGCACAGACUAGAAGGGAAAUGAAAGCAUCCUCCGGUCUGUUGGAGCACUUAAGAAAUGUUUUUGACCUAAAUUGUCUAGUUUGAUUUUUUUAUAAUGAUAAAAUCCAUGUAAUUCAUGGCUAACUCCUUUCUACAUUGUACAGUAAUGAUAAUGCUUUCUGUUUGAGAAUGCUCCGUUUCUAAUUCAUGAUGGUAUUUUUGACUUUAUCACGACGUUCCUUAUCAUGACUGCUCAUCUUUGAGAAAGUAGAGCAAAAAGAAGAACAAAUCUGCAAAGAUUCCAGAGAAGAAAGGCUGCUGAUAAGGAUUGUGUGGAUCCAUGUACAUGUGCAUAUAUAUAUAUAUGCAUGGCUAUUGAGAAGGUUCAGAAAGCAAAAGUGACUUUCAACUUAUGUGUGAACCUCCUAUGUUCAAGCACAGGGGAUAGUUAGAGCUGGAAGCCAUUAGAGAUCUGUACCACUCUCUUCAUUGUGUUUUUAGAGGAACUGGAGCGAAAUCAUUUACCAAAGUUUCCCCAACGCAUUAGUGGUAGGACUAAAACUCAGGUUCUUUUCUGCUAUAAUGUAUUCACUCACGUUUAUUUUCCAUGAGGAAUACCAAGUCUGGAAUAAUUGGAGUAAAGAUAUCAGUGACCUUCUCCCUCUCUGUGUCUCAAAAAUGAUUCUAUUAUCUGUCAGAUACUGUUGACUAGACCUGGCAGCUCCCAAUGGGCCCACAAGUUGAAUAUGGUGGCAGAAGUUCAACGACCCAGCAGAGGUUGGGCAAACGGCCCAGUGAUUUCUCUGUUUCGGAGCGAUUCCAGACACCACAUACAAGGAGCCUAGUUUGAAAUCUGCAGAUACUGCUGUUUGAGUGGAGACAGAAUGUGCUGGAACAAUUGGUACUGCCUUUAGUCCCUGACAGAGACCUAACGCCUCUGCUGCCUGAUCACCUAGACUUCAGACAUUCCGAAUUUAGUCCAGUAAUGAGUAAACUAGAGAAAAGGGCUUCUUUAAUUUUUUUUUUAUUAAAAAACAAUUUUCCCCUUAAAGUGAAUAAAGUGCCAGUGAAAGGGGCAAAUCGCCUCUC